GAGACCACGGCCCCCUCGGGGGCUGCGGCCAAGAUGGCCUCUGCUUGCAUGCUAUUGCUUUGGGAUGGGCCUGCGGACCAUUAGCUUGUUGGUGAGGUAACGGCUCACCAAGGCUGCGAUGGUUAGCUGGUCUGAGAGGAUGAUCAGCCACACUGGGACUGAGACACGGCCCAG
rnacentral:rRNA from 1 species